GACAGAGGGUGCAAACGUUGUUCGGAAUUACUGGGCGUAAAGCGCGUGUAGGCGGCAACGCAAGUCGGAUGUGAAAUCCCAUGGCUCAACCAUGGAAGUGCACCCGAAACUGCGUCGCUAGAGUCCUGGAGAGGAAGGUGGAAUGCUUGGUGUAGAGGUGAAAUUCGUAGAUAUCAAGCGGAACACCGGUGGCGAAGGCGGCCUUCUGGACAGUGACUGACGCUGAGACGCGAAAGCGUGGGGAGCAAACGGG
rnacentral:rRNA from 1 species